rnacentral:snRNA from 3 species
GUGCUUGCUUCAGCAGCACAUGUACUAAAAUGGAAAUGAUACAGAGAUUAGCAUGGCCCCUAUACAAGGAUGACAUGCAAAUACAUGAAGCGUUCCAUAUUUUU